UUGAUGCCACCCACCAAAAACUCCAAGAAGUGGAAACCUGAGCCUUCCCUUCCCGCCCCGUUCACCUCCCUCUACUACAGGCUCCAGUCUCAUUCCAGUUUCUCUGAAACCUUCAUUUAGAAUAGAUAAACUUUUAUUGGUCAUCCUGUCGUGUUUCUCUUCCUGUGUCUUCAUCUGGACCGGAGCUGGUAAUCAGACGGCAGCAGGUUGAGCUGGACGCCGUCUGUCUCUGUUCUGUGUUUAUCGCCUGAUCGCUGUGAGGAUGGAGAGAAAGAAGAGAAGAUGACAGAGGAAGAAUCAGGGAAUCAGCGGAGAAUGCCACAGACAAGGGGUUAAGGAGACAGACGUGAGGUCAGUGAUAGAAGAGACAAGUGAUGACAUCAGUGCAGGCAGACUUGGUGAGUCAACCACCACAAAGGAGAAUGCGGAACAGAAAGGUGCAGAUGAGGGAGAGAAGCAGAGAGGACCAGAUGAUGAUGAAGAGGAGCAGAGAGCUGCAGAGGAGAGGGCUGAGGCAAGGCUUUAUUCAGAGGAUCCAUCUGAAUGGCCUUUACCACACAAAACGGGGGACACAUUUAGGCAGUACAUGGUUGAAAGUGGCCCACAGGAAGUUUCUGAUGGCCCAUAUCCAAGAUCAGAGAAGAGUAAGAGGUGUUUUUCCAAAGCAUACUGUUUUCGUUUGCGGUCUAAUGGAGAGAACGUUGAACGAGAUUGGUGGCGGGUUGUAAUAACUGGCGAUGUCUUUCAAAAACACUGAAGCGCCAUGAAACCAGUAGUUCUCACAUGAACGCUUAUAUGAUGUGGAAAGAAAUGGCAUCUCGCUUACGCCUAGGUAAAACUAUUGAUAGUGAACUUCUUAUUGAAAUUAUCACCUGAUAUAACAUGUACCAUAAAAGAAAUUCCAUAAUAUGACUGCUGUAUUUUGUAAGUGCAUAACUAAGGGAGGAAAGCUGUAUGAAAUGGGUGGCGGGGGGCGCCGAUGAUGUGUUCGCAUGCACCUCAAAAAUAUGUAGUUGCGCCCCUGGUAAUUACAUUCCAGAUAGUCAGAGGAAACUGAUUACAUCUUAAAACUGCCUGCCAUAUCCGUGGCUGGUUGGUCUGAUGGCUCAGAUUUGGGGAUUUGUGGGAGCAGAGAUAGGAAUCGUCAUUUCUAACAUUUGUUUUCUGUAUUUUCUCUGCAGCUGGGAUUUUCCAGUGUGUUUUCCUCCUUGGUGGUGGCAUCCGGUGCUGUCUAAGGCAUUACAUUCUCUGUCUCUAUAGCGCCUCUAUGGCAAUGGAGGAAUCCUGUUUCCUGUGUGACGUGACCUUUUCAAUGUGGGUCUUUCACAUUUUAUGCAACUUUUUAAGCUGGCUUAUAAUUCGCUUUAAAUAAACUUUGUAAGUAAGGAUGGAA